CCCCACUUUUUUUUUUUUUUUUAAACUGAUGUAGCAGCUGUGUGAUUUCUGGCAAGUCCCUACCCUUCUCUGGCCCUCAGUCUCCUCCUCUUCAGAAUAACAACCUCCACCACCAUCCUAACAGCAAGGUGCCGGGGCCCUGCCACAGACCAGGAAUUCCUCCAUUCCUCGUAACACCUUUAUGAGAGAUUACGAUUGUACCACCUCACAAGCUGUAUGGGAACCUACUCUGUCCAAGGCAAGGCGGGCUCAGGUUCUGCCCCCAGGUACGUGGCACUGAGGACACUGGUGCUCCACCGGCUAGACUUCCCUGCCCAACCCCACAGACCCCCCCACACCCAGCACUGUACUUGCUGUGGCUCAGAGCCCCCUCCAUCUGACCAGCAGCCAUCUAUGAAGCCAAGAUGCUGAGCCUUUGCCUCCCAGUUGCCAAGAAAACCCAGAAGAAGGGGAGGGGAGGAGAGAGAAGAAGAUCCAACCAGAAGAUGGAGCCCAACACGUGAGAGGGGUGGAGUGAGAAAAGAAGCUGGUGGUCCACAUGGCACCUCAUGUGCUCCAAGCCCCUCAGCUGGCAGAGGGGAAACAGACCCAGAGAAGAGGAUGAUUUUCUCCAGGUCAGCUGGCUAA